rnacentral:rRNA from 1 species
AAAUUGAAGAGUUUGAUCAUGGCUCAGAUUGAACGCUGGCGGCAGGCCUAACACAUGCAAGUCGAACGGUAACAGGAAGAAGCUUGCUUCUUUGCUGACGAGUGGCGGACGGGUGAGUAAUGUCUGGGAAACUGCCUGAUGGAGGGGGAUAACUACUGGAAACGGUAGCUAAUACCGCAUAACGUCGCAAGACCAAAGAGGGGGACCUUCGGGCCUCUUGCCAUCGGAUGUGCCCAGAUGGGAUUAGCUAGUAGGUGGGGUAACGGCUCACCUAGGCGACGAUCCCUAGCUGGUCUGAGAGGAUGACCAGCCACACUGGAACUGAGACACGGUCCAGACUCCUACGGGAGGCAGCAGUGGGGAAUAUUGCACAAUGGGCGCAAGCCUGAUGCAGCCAUGCCGCGUGUAUGAAGAAGGCCUUCGGGUUGUAAAGUACUUUCAGCGGGGAGGAAGGGAGUAAAG